AUAAGCAUGACCCAAUAUUUUUUCGAGAUCCACAGUUUUCAUUGCCCGGAUUCGUGCCGUCCACGGCACACGGUUGGGGUGCGGCGGCCUCAUGAUCAUAUGCAUAAAACAUCGCCUUCUUCGCCUCUCUCGCGCGCGCUCUCUCCCUAACUCGUUACCGCUGUUGUAAUUCACUGUACACAAUGGCGUUUCUCCGGCUACGCUCAGCAGAUGUCGCCGGAUUCAAACUAUUCUUCGCCCUCUUCCUCCUUUAUGGAAUGAUGUCUUAUCUCGUGUCCUCCGUUAUUCACAUGAAGUUCAUAACGCCUCUGGGCCCUCACGCACCGCUGGAUCGCUUCUCCGAAGCCAGAGCUGUCGAGCACGUUCGUGUGCUGGCGGAAGAAAUCGGCGGUCGACAGGAGGGAAGUCCAGGUUUGAGAAUGGCAGCUGCAUACAUUAAAACACAGUUAGAACUGAUAAGAGAACGAGCUGGAUCAAAUGUUAGGGUAGACAUAGAAGAAACAGUUGUCAAUGGCUCCUUCAAUAUGAUAUUUUUAGGACACAGCAUAUCACUAAGUUAUAGAAACCAUACAAAUAUUCUUAUGAGGAUUUCCUCAAUUGAGUCACUGGAAACUGAGCCAUCAGUUUUAUUAAAUGCCCAUUUUGAUAGUCCUCCAGGGUCUCCAGGUGCUGGUGAUUGUGGCUCAUGCGUGGCAUCACUGCUCGAGUUAGCAAGGCUCACAGUCGAUUCUGGCUGGAUUCCUCCUCGGCCAAUAAUAUUCUUAUUUAAUGGAGCUGAAGAGUUGUUUAUGCUGGGUUCACAUGGUUUCAUGACAACACAUAGAUGGCGUAAUACAAUUGGUGCAUUUAUUGAUGUUGAGGCAUCUGGGACUGGAGGCACUGAUUUGGUCUGUCAAUCUGGACCUGGAUACUGGCCGUCAUAUGUUUAUGCUCAGUCAGCUAUGUAUCCGAUGGCAAACAGUGCAGCUCAGGAUGUUUUUGGUGUUAUUCCUGGUGAUACUGACUACAGGAUAUUUGCUACUGAUUAUGGUGACAUUCCUGGAUUGGAUAUUAUCUUCCUGCUUGGGGGUUAUUAUUAUCACACCUCAUCUGAUACAGUGGAAAGACUAUUACCUGGUAGCGUACAAGCCCGUGGGGACAAUUUGUUUAGUUUAAUGAAGGCAUUUGCAAAUUCUUCCGAACUAUUAAAUUCUCAAGAGCGAGAAUCAAGAUCUGCUGCCGUUGUAUCUAAAGGCGAAAGACCAGUUUUCUUUGAUUACUUGUCACUGUUCUUGGUCUUCUACUCAAGAAGGCAAGCUUUGGUGUUUCAUAGUAUUCCAUUUGCCAUCUUCCUCUUCAUGCCCCUAUUGCUGUGCUUGCGAGCUCGAAGUUUGUUCUAUUCCUUCAAUUUGUAUUAUGACAUCAUAAAAGGGAUACUGUACCAUGCCAGUGGGAUUAUACUUGCUAUUGUUUUUCCCGUAUCUUUUGCAAUCUUGCGUUUGGUGUUCUCUGUACAUUCUAUGCACUGGUUUGCCAAUAAAUAUUUGGCAUUUCUUAUGUUUGUGCCAUGCUCACUUGUUGGUCUGUUGGUUCCAAGAAUUCUUUGGAAACACUUUGCUCUGUCCCAGGAUCUUUCAGUUCUUGCACUCUCGCGGGAGGAAUUGGAUGAUCAUGCAAGGUUUUGGGGAGCUUUUGGAUUCUACUCUCUUUUGACAUUGGCAUAUCUGAUAUCUGGGCUGAGUGGGGGUUUUAUGACAUUCAUUGUUUCAAUAUCUAUGCUUAUCGCAUGGGUUUUCUUUCGAGUAUCAUACAUGUAUUUUGGUUGUCAUCCUCUCAGGUCAACAGCAUUUUAUGUGGUUCCUUUGGUGCCUUGCCUUGUGUAUUCAGUUUACUUUGGAGGAUUUUUUGCUGUUUUUGUGAUUGAGAAAAUGGGCAUGACGGGUUCACACCCACCUCCUUAUGGGUAUUUUGUACCUGAUGUAAUAGUUGCUGCAGUUGUUGGCUUAGUUACUGGGUGGUGCUUUGGUCCUCUUUUACCUGUAGUUGGGAAAUGGCUGGCACAAUCAUCAAUUAUUCGUUUUCUGUUGCAUGGGAUUGUUCUUGCCUUGGCUUUAUCAUCACAAGUCUUUCCAUACAGCAAUGAUGCACCAAAAAGAAUUGUUCUCCAGCAUACUGUUCAGACUAAAGGUGCUAAUCAGAUAUCAAAUGCUAGUUUUGAUUUUGCGGUGACUGAUUCAAACUCACUGAUGUUUGUUUUCAAACACGCACCUGUGGUGGUGAAGGAACUGCACGGUAAUCAAGAAUUAAGUUUUCACAGUGUUAAUGAAUCAAGAUUGGAUACAUGGAAGGGAAUUUUUCCAAUAUCUAAUUUGUUCUCGGGAAGCUUGAAGUUUCCUGCAAAUACUGAGGAUAUAUUGAAGCAAUUCAAAUAUUUUCCUUAUUUAUCAACUGAUGAAGACCAGGUCCCAGUUGCUGGUAGAUUUCGAAGAGUCAACUUGGAACUAUCAAUGGGUACGUUGAAGGAGGUUUGGGUUGCAGUCCUUAACAUUACAGGUCCAUUGUCGAAUUGGUCAUUUGCAAGCAAUAUGGUCCCAGCUCCAGUAAGAGUUGGGCAAGGGCCACCAUCAUACAUAUGCAGGCUGAGUGGUGCUGGUCAUGAGAAUUGGAAAUUCUGGUUGGAGGCCAACAGUUCGAAGCCAUUGAGGGUUGAUGUUGCUGUGGUGGACCUACAUUUAACAGAGUUGGCCCUUAAGUUGAAAGGCCUCUUUCCAAGUUGGAUGGAUGUCACUGCCUACACUAGUUUUUUAUCUUCCUACAGUGUCUAACUAGCGACUACUUGAACGGCUUCACAAUUUCCUUUUGUGUUAUUCUAAAUUAUAACAGGUACUGUUCCGAAUGCAUUAGAAUAUAUGAUCAGGUUGAUAUAUGAAGACAGCAUGCCUCUGGAACAAUAGUGAGAUAAUGAGAUUACUUUCACUCUCAGCAUGAGAACAGGUGUCAACGAUUGUUAGUGCUGGCGAAAAUAAAAGACAUGAGACGUCACAUAGCUAGACUUACCUAAACGGUUUGACACGUCAAUUUCGAAGUGUUGAAAAAUCAAGUCAAAAUCAUUUAGUAUUAUUAUUAUUUUUGUUUUUUUUAUUUUUCACAAUUUCAA